CCUACGGGAGGCAGCAGUGGGGGAUAUUGCACAAUGGGGGAAACCCUGAUGCAGCGACGCCGCGUGAGUGAAGAAGUAUUUCGGUAUGUAAAGCUCUAUCAGCAGGGAAGAAAAAAGACGGUACCUGACUAAGAAGCCCCGGCUAACUACGUGCCAGCAGCCGCGGUAAUACGGAGGGGGCAAGCGUUAUCCGGAUUUACUGGGUGUAAAGGGAGCGUAGACGGCAAUACAAGUCGGAAGUGAAAUACCCGGUCUCAACCUGGGAACUGCUUUGGAAACUGUAUGGAUAGAGUGCUGGAGAGGUAAGCGGAAUUCCUAGUGUAGCGGUGAAAUGCGUAGAUAGUAGGAGGAACACCAGUGGCGAAGGCGGCUUACUGGACAGUAACUGACGUUGAGGCUCGAAAGCGUGGGGAGCAAACAGGAUUAGAUACCCCAGUAGUC
rnacentral:rRNA from 1 species